AAAAAAAGAGUUUGCACUAUCUCCGCAUGUUUUCGUGUAAAGAGAGAUCCAAGCGUGAAAACAGAAACGAUAAGGGCCAGAAAAACCUCGAGAACCAACACACGUACUCUGCUGUGGACUGCGCACCUGGGAAUCAUUGAUACCAGCGGACCAAAAUAAAAACACAGAAAAAAAUGCAAAAAUUUGGAGUUGCUGGUUUACUGGAAAACAUUGGUCCCCUUUUGACGCCCAUUGAAUAAUAUUUUCUUCACUUUUUCACUUGUAUAAAUUGCACUCUCUUCUUCUUUAAUUUUGAGUGUUCAAUUACUAAUUCAUAUUUACUUCAAAUGGAUGUAUACAUUCCUGAGGAGUACGUUAUUCAACGAAGACUGGAGAAACGGAAUAGUGCUUCUGCUGCUGCUAAUAAACUCAACAGAACAUCAGAAAAAGGAAGAAAUGUGUUUCAGUCCAAUCAGAAAGAACGAAAAGUAGCUUCAGGGCAACAAGCACAAUCUUCUUGCUUGGUACAGAAUAAUGACUACAUUUACACAACAAACUCUGUUGGUUUAGGGGAGAAUGUAGUUUUCACAUGCUUUUCUGCUUAAUUAAUUUUAUUCUUGCUAGUUAUUAUUAAGUGUUCACUACUACUACUAAUCAUAACUCACUUUUCUGUUAAUAUAGAGUUAAGACUAGCUAUUACUUCAAUGUAUCAGUUCCUAUUUUUGUAAUCAGAACACUAACUCUAGCUGCUACCUAUAUAUGUGUUUCCAACAUAAUGCAUGUAUGUGGGAUAGGAGUAUGUAUUAUGUUACAAGAAUAAACUUCUCAUUAUAUACUAUCGGUGUAAGUUUUGAUUCUCAUCAAACUCCACUAAAUCAUUUAUCAUAAAUUCAUGCUAAGACUCCACAUGAUGAGCAUCAGUUUUUUUUCUUCCCAUUACUCCUAUAGUUUUUGAAAGAAUUUUACUUUCAAGUACUUGAACCAUAAACCAACUCUUGUGGAACAACUCCCAAUCACUUACCCAGGGGAAUUAAAUUUAUAGGACUUUUUGAACACUUAGAGCAAUUUAUAUAAGACAAACUAGUGAAUGUGUCCCUGCUUCGCACGGUUUAAUAGGGAAUUUAGAAUGACUUUAUAAAUCAAGUCGUGAUAGAGAUAAAUUUUUGUUUAAUUAGAACUAAGUAUGUUUUUUCGCUACUAAAAAAUAAUUAAAAAAAAAAGAAAAUAAAAUGACAAUGAGUCGACAACAAAGGAAUUGAUAAAAAGAAAAGAUAAUUUCUUUAAUUUUUGGAUUAAGAAACCAAUAAAACUCCAGGAAUUAGCAUUAGUUCAUACACAUAUGUCUUUCAUGGAAAAAAACUCAUUAUUCAAAAAUCAAUUGAAGAACUAAAUAUACAAUAUGAAAUUAGUAUUCACAAAUUUUAAUUAAAUUCCAUACAUAUAUUAUAUACAAAAAUUUCAUAGUCAACAACUAAACUCAAUAUGGGAGAAAGAUCCUAAGUUUCCAUGAGUAUCAAUGAUAAUUUCUUGAAAACUCUACAAAUAAUUUCAAAUGGCUACUAUUGUCAUCAAGAAAAGUAAAGAACCCGAGAAGACCAAUACACUUCCCCUUUCAAUGAAUGAAUCUCUUUUUUUUUCCUCACAUAAUUCUUCUUUUCCUUUUCUUCUCUUCUUUCAAUUUUAUUCAUUACUUCUUUUUUCACCCCGUAGUUAUUAUUUCAUUACAAAAAUAUAGAUCACGUUUUUCACAAAAAUCAAAAUUAUAUUAUCAACGGACUAUUAAAGGAGUAUAAUUGGUCGAAAAGUGCAUGACAAACAUAGUUAAAUUCUUCAUACAUUAUUCUCCACUUGCAUUUAUAACAAAAGAGAAAGAGAAUUUUUUUUCCUUUCCAAAUUACAAAAAAAAUUGACCAAAUUCACAUCAAGGAAACAUUCAAUGGGUUUUUCUUUUAAAUUAUGCAUCAUUCAAAAUUAUAUUUUUUACAGACAGAAACUAUACUACUUGAAGAUCAAAGGAAGAAAUGAGAGGAGAGAAAACAAAAAAGGAGGAGAAAGACAUUACUUUUAGAGGAGAAGCUUCAUGACCAUUUGAGAAGAUGUAAGUCUUAGUAACAUCUAAAUCACCAUCUUUAGCCUUUUGUUUAAGAUGAGGUCACGACUACAAUGACCAAUAGAAAAACUGCAAGAAAAAAUAAUUAAAAUAAUAAUUUAGGAUAUAAAAAAAAUAUGGAACAAGAAAUACAGAAUAACAGUAUACACAAUCAUUUCGGAAGAAACUUUUUAAAAGAUAUCUUCCCAUUGAAAAGGAUCCAUAACCGCUCCAAAAAGAUGGAAAAGCCUUAACGUAUAAGAAUUUAAAAGGUCAUAACAUUAUGUUGAAGCCUUAACUUACGCUGAAGCAUUGUAAAA
rnacentral:lncRNA from 1 species